UACGAAGGGGGCUAGCGUUGUUCGGAUUUACUGGGCGUAAAGCGCACGUAGGCGGAUCGUUAAGUCGGGGGUGAAAUCCUGGAGCUCAACUCCAGAACUGCCUUCGAUACUGGCGAUCUUGAGUCCGGAAGAGGUGAAGUGGAACUCCUAGUGUAGAGGUGGAAUUCGUAGAUAUUAGGAAGAACACCAGUGGCGAAGGCGGCUCACUGGUCCGGUACUGACGCUGGGUGCGGAAAGCGAUGGGGAGGCAAACAGGG
rnacentral:rRNA from 1 species